GAUGAACGCUAGCGGCAGGCCUAAUACAUGCAAGUCGAACGGUGUAGCACUACAUAGUGGCGCACGGGUGCGUAACCCGUAUGCAACCUACCUUAUACUGGGGGAUAGCCUUUGGAAACGGAGAUUAAUAACCCAUCGUAAAUUUAGAGGGCAUCAUUUGAAUGUUAAAGAUUUCUCGGUAUAAGCUGGGCAUGCGUCAAAUUAGUUAGUUGGUGAGGUAACGGCUGACCAAGACUUUGAUUGGUAAGGGAACUGAGAGGUUAACCCCCCACACGGGAACUGAGAUACGGGCCAGACUCCUACGGGAGGCAGCAGUAGUAAAUAUUGGGCAAUGGAGGCAACUCUGACCCAGCCAUGCCGCGUGCAGGAAGAAGGCGUUAUGCGUUGUAAACUGCUUUUAUAUAGGAAGAAAUAGUCCUUGCGAGGAAAGUUGACGGUACUAUAUGAAUAAGCACCGGCUAACUCCGUGCCAGCAGCCGCCGUAA
rnacentral:rRNA from 1 species